rnacentral:rRNA from 1 species
GAUGAACGCUGGCGGCGUGCCUAAUACAUGCAAGUCGAGCGAACAGACGAGGAGCUUGCUCCUCUGACGUUAGCGGCGGACGGGUGAGUAACACGUGGAUAACCUACCUAUAAGACUGGGAUAACUUCGGGAAACCGGAGCUAAUACCGGAUAAUAUAUUGAACCGCAUGGUUCAAUAGUGAAAGACGGUUUUGCUGUCACUUAUAGAUGGAUCCGCGCCGCAUUAGCUAGUUGGUAAGGUAACGGCUUACCAAGGCAACGAUGCGUAGCCGACCUGAGAGGGGGAUCGGCCACACUGGAACUGAGACACGGCCCAGACUCCUAGGGGAGGCAGAAGUAGGGAAUCUUCCGCAAGGGGCGAAAGCUUGACGGAGCAACGCCGCGUGAGUGAUGAAGGUCUUCGGAUCGUAAAACUCUGUUAUUAGGGAAGAACAAAUGUGUAAGUAACUAUGCACGUCUUGACGGUACCGAAUCAGAAAGCCACGGCUAACUACGU